UGAACGCUGGCGGCGUGCUUAACACAUGCAAGUCGAGCGAUGAAGUUUCCUUCGGGAAACGGAUUAGCGGCGGACGGGUGAGUAACACGUGGGUAACCUGCCUCAUAGAGUGGAAUAGCCUUCCGAAAGGAAGAUUAAUACCGCAUAAUGUUGAAAGAUGGCAUCAUCAUUCAACCAAAGGAGCAAUCCGCUAUGAGAUGGACCCGCGGCGCAUUAGCUAGUUGGUGGGGUAACGGCCUACCAAGGCGACGAUGCGUAGCCGACCUGAGAGGGUGAUCGGCCACAUUGGGACUGAGACACGGCCCAGACUCCUACGGGAGGCAGCAGUGGGGAAUAUUGCACAAUGGGGGAAACCCUGAUGCAGCAACGCCGCGUGAGUGAUGAAGGUUUUCGGAUCGUAAAGCUCUGUCUUUGGGGAAGAUAAUGACGGUACCCAAGGAGGAAGCCACGGCUAACUACGUGCCAGCAGCCGCGGUAAUACGUAGGUGGCGAGCGUUAUCCGGAUUUACUGGGCGUAAAGGGAGCGUAGGCGGAUGAUUAAGUGGGAUGUGAAAUACCCGGGCUCAACUUGGGUGCUGCAUUCCAAACUGGUUAUCUAGAGUGCAGGAGAGGAGAGUGGAAUUCCUAGUGUAGCGGUGAAAUGCGUAGAGAUUAGGAAGAACACCAGUGGCGAAGGCGACUCUCUGGACUGUAACUGACGCUGAGGCUCGAAAGCGUGGGGAGCAAACAGGAUUAGAUACCCUGGUAGUCCAUGCCGUAAACGAUGAAUACUAGGUGUGGGGGUUUCAACACCUCCGUGCCGCCGCUAACGCAUUAAGUAUUCCGCCUGGGGAGUACGGUCGCAAGAUUAAAACUCAAAGGAAUUGACGGGGACCCGCACAAGUAGCGGAGCAUGUGGUUUAAUUCGAAGCAACGCGAAGAACCUUACCUACACUUGACAUCCCUUGCAUUACUCUUAAUCGAGGAAAUCCCUUCGGGGACAAGGUGACAGGUGGUGCAUGGUUGUCGUCAGCUCGUGUCGUGAGAUGUUGGGUUAAGUCCCGCAACGAGCGCAACCCUUGUCGUUAGUUACUACCAUUAAGUUGAGGACUCUAGCGAGACUGCCUGGGUUAACCAGGAGGAAGGUGGGGAUGACGUCAAAUCAUCAUGCCCCUUAUGUGUAGGGCUACACACGUGCUACAAUGGCUGGUACAGAGAGAUGCAAUACCGCGAGGUGGAGCCAAACUUAAAAACCAGUCUCAGUUCGGAUUGUAGGCUGAAACUCGCCUACAUGAAGCUGGAGUUACUAGUAAUCGCGAAUCAGAAUGUCGCGGUGAAUACGUUCCCGGGUCUUGUACACACCGCCCGUCACACCAUGAGAGUUGGCAAUACCCGAAGUCCGUGAGCUAACCGCAAGGAGGCAGCGGCCGAAGGUAGGGUCAGCAAUUGG
rnacentral:rRNA from 1 species